AACGGUCUAUACCUGCGGUACCUGCGGAGGGAUCAUUAGUGAACGCCCUCACGGGCUUAUAACUAUUCCAAACCUCUGUGAACCGUGCCCUUCGGGGCUAUUUUACAAACAUGGUGUAAUGAACGUCAUAUAUCAUAACAAAACAGAACUUUUAACAACGGAUCUCU
rnacentral:misc_RNA from 1 species